rnacentral:rRNA from 1 species
GGGGAAUAUUGUUCAAUGGACGAAAGUCUGAAACAGCAAUGCCGCGUGAAUGAUGAAGGCCUUCGGGUUGUAAAGUUCUUUCGACAGGGAAGAAGCCGAUGACGGUACCUGGAGAAGAAGCCACGGCUAAUCUCGUGCCAGCAGCCGCGGUAAGACGAGAGUGGCAAGCGUUAUCCGGAAUUACUGGGCGUAAAGAGCGCGUAGGCGGUUUUGAAAGUCAGGGGUGAAAAGUCUGGGCUCAACCGAGGCCUUGCCUUUGAAACUUCAAGACUAGAGUACAGGAUAGGAGGGUAGAACUACCAGUGUAGCGGUGGAAUGCGUAGAUAUUGGUAGGAACGCCGAUGACGAAGGUAACUCUCUGGACUGAUACUGACGCUGAGGUGCGAAAGCUAGGGGAGCAAAC